rnacentral:rRNA from 1 species
AGUGAACGCUGGCGGUAGGCCUAACACAUGCAAGUCGAACGGCAGCACAGUAAGAACUUGCUCUUACGGGUGGCGAGUGGCGGACGGGUGAGGAAUACAUCGGAAUCUACUUUUUCGUGGGGGAUAACGUAGGGAAACUUACGCUAAUACCUCAUACGACCUACGGGUUAAAGCAGGGGAUCUUCGGACCUUGCGCGAUUGAAUGAGCCGAUGUCGGAUUAGCUAGUUGGCGGGGUAAAGGCCCACCAAGGCGACGAUCCGUAGCUGGUCUGAGAGGAUGAACAGGCACACUGGAACUGAGACACGGUCCAGACUCCUACGGGAGGAAGCAGUGGGGAAUAUUGGACGAUGGACGAAAGCCUGAUACAGCCAUACCGCGUGGGUGAAGAAGGACUUCGGGUUGUAAAGCCCUUUUGUUGGGAAAGAAAAGCAGCAGGUUAAUACCCCGCUGUUCUGACGGUACCCAAAGAAUAAGCACCGGCUAACUUCGUG